CCCCAGUAACGGCGAGUGAAGCGGCAACAGCUCAAAUUUGAAAUCUGGCCCCCCCCCCCGGGGGGGCCCGAGUUGUAAUUUGCAAAGGAUGCUUUGGGCGAGGCGCCUUCCGAGUUCCCUGGAACGGGACGCCACAAAGGGUGAGAGCCCCGUCUGGUCGGACGCCGAGCCUCUGUAAAGCUCCUUCGACGAGUCGAGUAGUUUGGGAAUGCUGCUCAAAAUGGGAGGUAUAUGUCUUCUAAAGCUAAAUACCGGCCAAAAACCGAUAGCGCACAAGUAAAGUGAUCGAAAGAUGAAAAGCACCUUGAAAAGGGGGUUAAACAGUACGUGAAAUUGUUGAAAGGGAAGCGCUCGUGACCAGACUUGGGGCGGGCGGAUCACCCGGCGUUCUCGCCGGCGCACUCCGCCCGUCCCAGGCCAGCAUCAGUUCGCGCCGGGGGACAAAGGCGGCGGGAACGUGGCUCCCCAGGGAGUGUUAUAGCCCGCCGCGCCAUGCCCCGGGGGCGGACUGAGGGCCGCGCAUCACUGCAAGGAUGCUGGCGUAAUGGUCACCAGCGACCCGUCUUGAAACACGGGCCAAGGAGUCGUCCUCGUAUGCGAGUGUUCGGGUGUCAAACCCCUACGCGGAAUGAAAGUGAACGUGGGUGAGAGCUUCGGCGCAUCAUCGACCGAUCCUGAUGUUCUCGGAUGGAUUUGAGUAGGAGCAUACGGGGCCGGACCCGAAAGAAGGUGAACUAUGCCUGUGUAGGGUGAAGCCAGAGGAAACUCUGGUGGAGGCUCGCAGCGGUUCUGACGUGCAAAUCGAUCGUCAAACAUGGGCAUGGGGGCGAAAGACU
rnacentral:rRNA from 1 species